rnacentral:rRNA from 1 species
GGGUUGUGAGGUUAAGUGACUAAGCGUACACGGUGGAUGCCUAGGCAGUCAGAGGCGAUGAAGGACGUGCUAAUCUGCGAUAAGCGUCGGUAAGCUGAUAUGAAGCGUUAUAACCGACGAUUUCCGAAUGGGGAAACCCAGUGCAACUCGUUGCACUAUCGUUAAGUGAAUACAUAGCUUAACGAAGCGAACCAGGGGAACUGAAACAUCUAAGUACCCUGAGGAAAAGAAAUCAACCGAGAUUCCCCUAGUAGCGGCGAGCGAACGGGGAGCAGCCCAGAACCUUAAUCAGCGUAUGUGUCAGAGGAACGGUCUGGAAAGUCCGGCGAUACAGGGUGAUAGCCCCGUACUUGAAAAUGCAUAUGUUGUGAGUUCGAUGAGUAGGGCGGGACACGUGA